rnacentral:tRNA from 1 species
UGAAAGUAGUAGCCUAGUGGACAUGGCAUCUGCCCGGUAAGCGGAACGUUGUGGGUUCGAUUCCCGCCCCUGGACACUUUUAU